rnacentral:lncRNA from 1 species
CAAGGCCGGAGUAUAGGAGGGGCGCUGCGAGAAAUCGUAAGUGUUUUCGGUGAGAAUCGUUGAUAAAUCUGAUCAAUAUUUGCUUUGGCAGUGGAAAACGUGGCUAUCGAGCCUACUGCAGAGAACCAAGUGGAAAAUGUCAGACAACUAUCCAACUUUGGAGGAAUAUCUAAAGGCCUCACAUUCAAGCAUCGAGCCUGCUGUCCGGAGCACUGUGUACUUCGUCGGCGAAACGCUCGCCACCGGAGAUUUAAAAGACUCGGCCAUUUGCCAAAUGAUGAACACUGCUUCACGCCUGGUACAAGAUACACACACGGACAAGGUAAACCCGAAGAAAUAGACGAAAUAGGAAAUCCCUUACCACCAUUCGAGAUUUUCCAGGUGGAUUCAAGCCUCAACAGUAUCACCAUCUACCUUGAAGAGAAUCCUCAAUUAACUGAAAGUGAAGCACUAAGUCAGGUCCAAGCACUUGC